ACCGGGAGAUAGCUGGUUCUCCCCGAAAGCUAUUUAGGUAGCGCCUCGUGAAUUCAUCUCCGGGGGUAGAGCACUGUUUCGGCAAGGGGGUCAUCCCGACUUACCAACCCGAUGCAAACUGCGAAUACCGGAGAAUGUUAUCACGGGAGACACACGGCGGGUGCUAACGUCCGUCGUGAAGAGGGAAACAACCCAGACCGCCAGCUAAGGUCCCAAAGUCAUGGUUAAGUGGGAAACGAUGUGGGAAGGCCCAGACAGCCAGGAUGUUGGCUUAGAAGCAGCCAUCAUUUAAAGAAAGCGUAAUAGCUCACUGGUCGAGUCGGCCUGCGCGGAAGAUGUAACGGGGCUAAACCAUGCACCGAAGCUGCGGCAGCGACGCUGAUGCGUUGUUGGGUAGGGGAGCGUUCUGUAAGCCUGCGAAGGUGUGCUGUGAGGCAUGCUGGAGGUAUCAGAAGUGCGAAUGCUGACAUAAGUAACGAUAAAGCGGGUGAAAAGCCCGCUCGCCGGAAGACCAAGGGUUCCUGUCCAACGUUAAUCGGGGCAGGGUGAGUCGACCCCUAAGGCGAGGCCGAAAGGCGUAGUCGAUGGGAAACAGGUUAAUAUUCCUGUACUUGGUGUUACUGCGAAGGGGGGACGGAGAAGGCUAUGUUGGCCGGGCGACGGUUGUCCCGGUUUAAGCGUGUAGGCUGGUUUUCCAGGCAAAUCCGGAAAAUCAAGGCU
rnacentral:rRNA from 1 species